rnacentral:rRNA from 1 species
AUUGAACGCUAGCGGCAGGCCUAACACAUGCAAGUCGAUCGGAGCGGCGGACGGGUGAGUAAUGCAUAGGAAUCUGCCUGGUAGUGGGGGAUCACGUCCGGAAACGGGCGCUCAUACCUCCUACUAUCAGAUGAGCCUCGGUCUGAUUAGCUCGUUGGUGGGGUAAAGGCCUACCAAGGCGACGGUCCGUAACGUGUCUGAGAGGAUGAUCAGUCACACUGGAACUGAGACACGGUCCAGACUCCUACGGGAGGCAGCAGUGGGGAAUAUUGGACAAUGGGCGAAAGCCUGAGCAAGCCAUGCGGCGUGUGUGAAGAAGGGCGUCGGAUUGUAAAGCACUUUAAGUUGGGAGGCGGUACAAAAAGAAUAAGCACCGGCUAAAUUCGUGCCAGCAGCCGCGGUAAUAC